AUUGAACGCUGGCGGGAGGCCUUACACAUGCAAGUCGAACGGAGUGGCGAACGGGUGAGUAAUGCAUAGGAACGUGCCCGGUAGCGGGGGAUAACUCCCGGAAAGGGGCGCUAAUACCGCAUACUAUUAGAGGAGCAGAGGUCGGAUUAGAUAGUUGGUGGGGUAAAGGCGUACCAAGGCGACGAUCCGUAACUGGUUUGAGAGGAUGAGCAGCCACACUGGAACUGCGACACGGUCCAGACUCCUACGGGGGGCAGCCGUGGGGAAUAUUGGACAAUGGGCGCAAGCCUGAUCCAGCCAUGCCGCGUGUGUGAAGAAGGUCUUCUGAUUGUAAAGCACUUUAAGUUAGGAGGCGUUACCAACAGAAUAAGCACCGGCUAACUCCGUGCCAGCAGCCGCGGAAAUAC
rnacentral:rRNA from 1 species